UUCCAGAGGUAACGAUGCAUGCAAUCAGU
rnacentral:sRNA from 1 species